rfam:Microbotryum lychnidis-dioicae p1A1 Lamole unplaced genomic scaffold supercont1.685, whole genome shotgun sequence.
GGUUGUGUGUCCGAGUGGUCUAAGGAGUGUGAUUCGAAUAAUCUAAUCAUCACAUCCUCUUUGAGGGCGCAGGUUCGAAUCCUGCCGCAAUCG